AACGGUCUAUACCUGCGGUACCUGCGGAAGGAUCAUUAUAGAGUGGUAAACCCUCCGUAAAAGGGGGGAACCUCCUGUCCUUUGUAGGCUCUUUUUUAAAGGGCUUUUUUAAUUUUCUGCUUCGGUGGGGUUAUCCCACCGGAACAACCUCAAAACUCUGAUCAAAAAAUUGUUCUGUCUGAGAACCUUUUAUAAUAAAAAAAACUUUCAGCAACGGAUCUCUAGAUCGGAAGAGCACAC
rnacentral:misc_RNA from 1 species